ACGGCCAGCUAAAUAAAGAAGAAAAAGAAGAAGAAGAAACAAACGCGGCAAAAAUGGCCGCACCUGAAGCCCCUCUGUGCUAUGUCGGCGUCGCAAGAGCAUCCCCUGCUUUUCGCCUCAUGAAACAAAUGGGAUGGGAAGAAGGAGAGGGGCUAGGGCAAGACAAGCAGGGGGUCAACAGAGUCAAGAACAAACAAGACACUACUGGUGUUGGUGUAGAGAAGCCAAACAAUUGGGCAUUUGAUACUACUCAAUUUGAUAGUAUUCUCAAGAGAUUGAAAGUGCAAGCUGCACAUGCAUCUGAUGAAGUUGUUGAGAAGAAGGAUACACAAGAAAAAACAGAGACUGGCAUAUCUAGUGAUCAUCAAGAACCAGUUGUCAAGGCUACUCGACCACAGGGAAGAUAUAAGAAAAGAGAGAGGGGG
rnacentral:misc_RNA from 1 species